GGGAAGGGGUAUAAGGACCCUUGUAGGAUUUCCAGGAAAGGAUGGAAAUGAGAUUAGAUGGAAUCAGGGAGAAUGUGGGGAAUGUGUGCAGAUGAUCCUAGACAGGAUUCUAGAUGAUUCUUGAUAGGAGGGAGAGAUGGGCAGGCAGGCUUCCUGCAGCAUCUCUGAGGACUCACUGCACAGGACUGACUGCCCAUUCUUUGCUGGAGCUUGGGGCUAAGCAGUCUUGAUGUGGUCAGGUUUUCUUGGAGUAUAGACUGUGUGCCCAGGGAAGAUGGAGGCCUGGCCUCAGGGCACCUGUCGGCCAGAGUGGGGCCUGUGGACACAUCCUCAGGGCGGUGGAAGCUAUCAAAAGCCUUAAAGAAUUCCUGGACUAAGGUUGAAGUACAGCGGGCUCAUGUGGUACUGGGCCAAGACUGGGCUGGGGCGGGAGGUAUGAAGACAGCUCAUGAAUAUCAGAGACCAAGAAAAAAGCCUUACAGCAUCCAAACCUGCUCUCCGGCUUGUGAGGUCAAAUUCCAAGGGAAUGUGUUGGAAGAUAUCCCACGAGUAACUGAAUCCACAGAUGAUGCUGAACCCUAAGAAGAUACUCCUCACUUAUGAAGAGGCUUGUGAUGGGGUGACAUCCUGAUGAACCCAUUGGCCUCCGACAGCUGCAGUGGGAGAAUACAGGGAGACUGUCUACAGAAUUCCUCUAGUGCAGGAACAUGGGCUACAAUUUAAUGGAGGCUUCUCACUCCAAAUCCUGCACUGUUUCCACUAAAGAGG